rnacentral:rRNA from 1 species
UACGGGAGGCAGCAGUGGGGAAUAUUGCACAAUGGGCGAAAGCCUGAUGCAGCUAUGCCGCGUGUAUGAAGAAGGCCGUUAGGGUUGUAAAGUACUUUCAUCGGGGAAGGAAAAAACAAAACUAAUAAUUUUAUUUCUUGACGUUAACCCGAAAAAGAAGCACCGGCUAACUCCGUGCCAGCAGCCGCGGUAAUACGGGAGGGUGCUAGCGUUAAUCAGAAUUACUGGGCGUAAAGAGCACGUAGGUUGGUUUUUUAAGUCAGAUGUGAAAUCCCUGGGCUUAACCUAGGAACUGCAUUUUGAAACUGAAAUACUAGAGUAUCGUAGAGGGAGGUAGAAUUCUAGGUGUAGCGGUGAAAUGCGUAGAUAUCUGGAGGAAUACCUGUGGCGAAAGCGGCCUCCUAAACGAAUACUGACACUGAGGUGCGAAAGCGUGGGGAGCAAACAGGGAUUAGAUACC